ensembl:lncRNA
CUGGAUUGGGAGGGGGGGUGCCCAGAUCCAAUGAUGGGUGUCCUCAUGGGAACUGGGGAUGACGCGGAGAUACAGAGGGAGCCAAGAAUGGACUGCUUCCUGGUCACAGGGCACCACCCUUCACUCUGUGGACUCAGCGGUGAUCCAGAGGAGUGUGCCUCUGCCCCUGUCAACUCAGAGUCUCUGGGGAGAUGGAGAUUAAACACACAAGUGGAUGUAUAACUCAUUAAAGUUGUAGUAGCCUUUCCAAGCAUCCCAAAGGUUUUAGGAAAGCGUUGUUGUUGUUGUCCAAUCACUAAGUCGUGUCCGACUCUGAAACGCCAUGGACUGCAGCUCGCC